rnacentral:rRNA from 1 species
UGGGGAAUAUUGGACAAUGGGCGCAAGCCUGAACCAGCCAUUCCGCGUGUGUGAAGAAGGCCUUUUGGUUGUAAAGCACUUUAAGCGAGGAGGAGGCUACUUGGAUUAAUACUCUAGGAUAGUGGACGUUACUCGCAGAAUAAGCACCGGCUAACUCUGUGCCAGCAGCCGCGGUAAUACAGAGGGUGCGAGCGUUAAUCGGAUUUACUGGGCGUAAAGCGUGCGUAGGCGGCUUUUUAAGUCGGAUGUGAAAUCCCUGGGCUUAACUUAGGAAUUGCAUUGGAUACUGGGAAGCUAGAGUAUGGGAGAGGAUGGUAGAAUUCCAGGGGUAGCGGUGAAAUGCGUAGAGAUCUGGAGGAAUACCGAUGGCGAAGGCAGCCAUCUGGCCUAAUACUGACGCUGGGGUACGAAAGCAUGGGGAGCAAACAGG